CCUACGGGUGGCUGCAGUGGGGAAUAUUGCACAAUGGGGGAAACCCUGAUGCAGCGACGCCGCGUGAAGGAAGAAGUAUUUCGGUAUGUAAACUUCUAUCAGCAGGGAAGAAAAUGACUGUACCUGACUAAGAAGCUCCGGCUAACUACGUGCCAGCAGCCGCCGUAAUACGUAGGGGGCAAGCGUGAUCCGGAUUUACUGGGUGUAAAGGGAGCGUAGGUGGUUCAGCAAGUCAGAAGUGAAAGCCCAGGGCUCAACUCCGGGACUGCUUUUGAAACUGUUGAACGAGAUUGCUGGAGAGGUAAGUGGAAUUCCUAGUGUAGCGGUGAAAUGCGUAGAUAUUAGGAGGAACACCAGUGGCGAAGGCGGCUUACUGGACUGUAAAUGACGCUGAGGCUCGAAAGCGUGGGGAGCAAACAGGAUUAGAUACCCGGGUAGUC
rnacentral:rRNA from 1 species